rnacentral:rRNA from 1 species
ACAAGGGGUGACCUGGAGCGAAUCUCAGAAAUAACGUCUCAGUUCGGAUUGUAGUCUGCAACUCGACUACAUGAAGCUGGAAUCGCUAGUAAUCGCGGAUCAGAAUGCCGCGGUGAAUACGUUCCCGGGUCUUGUACACACCGCCCGUCACACCAUGGGAGUCGGGAAUGCCCGAAGCCAGUGACCCAAGCGAGAGCAGGGAGCUGUCGAAGGCAGGCCGGAUAACUGGGGUGAAGUCGUAACAAGGUAAC